GAUCUUCAGGGCAGGGUGAAAGUCCCUACCGGCGGUAAAGCCCGCGAGCCUUUUAUGGCAUGAUCCGUUGAAAUUACGGAGCCGACAGUAUAGUCUGGAUGGGAGAAGAUG
rnacentral:ncRNA from 1 species